CGAUAGCUUACGUAUUGCCUCAUCUGUAAUACACGCAGACCCCGAGGUCAGGUUGCUACCCUAGAGUAUGCAGUUUUAUUAUUAUUAGCACAUUCUCUGACACAAGCAUUCGCCUCCCGGGGACACCACCACCCUCCCCACGAGUGACAACUUUGAUUUAUAUGCCCACAUAGAACUAAACCAGAGCAUGGCUCUAUAUAUCCUUUUUGAUGGUAUUUCAGGCGGAAAUAGGAUAUAAGACAUUACGAAUAAUUAUGCCCUAUCACCUUAUGGUCUCGCCCAUUUACUACCUUAGCCUAUCAAUGCACUCACUAAUAAAUUUAGAUUACGAAGGAGCACAUAGUACCGCCACCACCUUCAGAACCUUAUACAUUUAUUAACUACAGCUACCAUAACUUGUAUAAUACCUUAUUACCAUCCUGACAUUGCUAUGCACUUAGGCUGGGUCCAGAGAGAAUGGCUUGUGCUACCUUUCCAGGGUAUCAUAUAUAGAAACGGGAGAACUGUAGCUCCGCUCACCUAUGCCGUAUGGCAUUUUAGCUAUUACUUUUCAUUUCUAUACCUGCUUCGCCACAGUAGCUAAGUUUUAGAAUGUUAUCUUCGUCUUCUGACUAUCCUGAUAUGACAUAACCUAUUGUAAGCAAUUAUACAUUUACAAUUGUGCAUGCAGACUGGUAUACCCCAUUGUUAUAUAAGUUGCUAAUUUGCUUGAGGAUUGCCGUUGGGGUAACUCACGCUUGUAUGUUAUUCUCGAUAUGCACUGCAAAAAUAAAGAAGAGGCAUUAGUGCAAACAAAAAAAAAAAAAAAAAAAGAGGUUUGAUACCAACUUUAUAAAUACCUACUUUAUUUUAUUGCAAUAUACACAUACGGAG